rnacentral:misc_RNA from 1 species
GCAAAUAAGCCAAUCAACCUCAUUAUCCUUGGACUAUACCAGGUGCAACUAGCAUAAUUGAAGAUGUUCUGUAUAAGGUUAACAAGGUCAAUUAAAGGCAUUCACAAGACUUCAUUUAUUUACAUUAAUCAAGUUAGCAACCAGUAGAUAGCAUUGUGGUUUCUUUUAGCUAUAAGUGUCCAUAUCCAGAAUUAAAGCCAUAACUCUUUUUUUUUUUUAUUUCUUUCUU